rnacentral:rRNA from 1 species
AGAGUUUGAUCAUGGCUCAGGAUGAACGCUGGCGGUCUGCUUAACACAUGCAAGUCGAACGAAUCCCUUCGGGGAUUAGUGGCGGACGGGUGAGUAACGCGUGAGAAUCUACCAAAAGGACUGGGACAACCACUGGAAACGGUGGCUAAUACCGGAUGAGCCGCAACGUAAAAGAGGAAACUCGCCUUUUGAAGAGCUCGCGUCUGAUUAGCUAGUUGGUGAGGUAAAGGCUCACCAAGGCGGCGAUCAGUAGCUGGUCCGAGAGGAUGAUCAGCCACACUGGGACUGAGACACGGCCCAGACUCCUACGGGAGGCAGCAGUGGGGAAUUUUCCGCAAUGGGCGAAAGCCUGACGGAGCAAUACCGCGUGAGGGAGGAAGGCUCUUGGGUUGUAAACCUCUUUUCUCAAGGAAGAAAAAAAUGACGGUACUUGAGGAAUAAGCAUCGGCUAACUACGUGCCAGCAGCCGCGGUAAUACGUAGGGGGCGAGCGUUGUCCGAAGUUACUGGGCGUAAAGCGCGCGUAGGCGGUUGCCUAAGUCUGGGGUGAAAGGUUCAGGGCUUAACCCGAACAGUGCCUUGGAUACUGGGCGACUUGAGUGCCGAAGAGGAAAGCGGAAUUCCUGGUGUAGCGGUGAAAUGCGUAGAUAUCAGGAGGAACACCGAUGGCGAAGGCAGCUUUCUGGUCGGUAACUGACGCUGAGGUGCGAAAGCGUGGGGAGCGAACGGGAUUAGAUACCCCCGUAGUCC